rnacentral:rRNA from 2 species
GGGGGGGGGGGCGGCCUACCAUGCAGUCGAGCGGUAACAGGGGUAGCUUGCUACCCGCUGACGAGCGGCGGACGGGUGAGUAAUGCAUAGGAAUUUACCCGAUAGUGGGGGAUAACCUGGGGAAACCCAGGCUAAUACCGCAUACGUCCUACGGGAGAAAGGGGGCUUCGGCUCCCGCUAUCGGAUGAGCCUAUGCCGGAUUAGCUGGUUGGUGAGGUAAUGGCUCACCAAGGCGACGAUCCGUAGCUGGUCUGAGAGGAUGAUCAGCCACAUCGGGACUGAGACACGGCCCGAACUCCUACGGGAGGCAGCAGUGGGGAAUAUUGGACAAUGGGCGCAAGCCUGAUCCAGCCAUGCCGCGUGUGUGAAGAAGGCCCUCGGGUUGUAAAGCACUUUCAGCGAGGAAGAACGCCUGGCGGUUAAUACCCGCCAGGAAAGACAUCACUCGCAGAAGAAGCACCGGCUAACUCCGUGCCAGCAGCCGCGGUAAUACGGAGGGUGCAAGCGUUAAUCGGAAUUACUGGGCGUAAAGCGCGCGUAGGUGGCUUGAUAAGCCGGUUGUGAAAGCCCCGGGCUCAACCUGGGAACGGCAUCCGGAACUGUCAGGCUAGAGUGCAGGAGAGGAAGGUAGAAUUCCCGGUGUAGCGGUGAAAUGCGUAGAGAUCGGGAGGAAUACCAGUGGCGAAGGCGGCCUUCUGGACUGACACUGACACUGAGGUGCGAAAGCGUGGGUAGCAAACAGGAUUAGAUACCCUGGUAGUCCACGCCGUAAACGAUGUCGACCAGCCGUUGGGUGCCUAGCGCACUUUGUGGCGAAGUUAACGCGAUAAGUCGACCGCCUGGGGAGUACGGCCGCAAGGUUAAAACUCAAAUGAAUUGACGGGGGCCCGCACAAGCGGUGGAGCAUGUGGUUUAAUUCGAUGCAACGCGAAGAACCUUACCUACUCUUGACAUCCUGCGAACUUGUGAGAGAUCACUGGGUGCCUUCGGGAGCGCAGAGACAGGUGCUGCAUGGCUGUCGUCAGCUCGUGUGUGAAAUGUUGGGUUAAGUCCCGUAACGAGCGCAACCCUUGUCCUUAUUUGCCAGCACG